CCGAUUCCGCCCUAACAGUUCAUUUCUCAUUUUCUUUCCUCUGUUGAUGCUUCUCCUGUGUGUUCGUUUAUACAAGUUGAUGUUCCUGCUACUGAGUCUUUCUGAGUCUACUGCCCUUUCAUCAUCGACAGCCUUACUCACUUGCUCUCCAACCUGUCCUGCGUUACGUGUCUCUGCAGUUGAGUGGGAAGAACAUGGACUCGUGAAUCUUGUAAUAAGGGCCUGAGCCCAUUGUUUAUAGCUAAGAAAUGCUUGAUGAGUAAAUGAUAGACUUGAAUUAAUAUCUUAA